UUAAUUUCCACCUGGAGAAAAAUCUGAAAUAUGGUUGCACAAAAUAUGACAGGAAGCGGAGCAGAUUCAUGUAUAGAGGUGGGCAAGCAUCUAUUACUCUAUUCAUGAUUGAUAUUUUACAGCCAACUACAAGCUUCAUGUUGGGAUGCACCGCGAUAGCUGUAUCAGCAAAUAAUGUCUCUGGGCGUGCUGUUGCUAUCGUCAAAUAGACACUCCU